ACCGUGAAAAAAUUAGAGUGUUCAAAGCAGGCAGAUCCAAUUUUCUGCCACCGAAUACAUUAGCAUGGGAUAAUGGAAUAGGACCCUGUCCUCCUAUUUUCAGUUGGUUUUGGCAGCGCGAGGACUAGGGUAAUGAUUAAUAGGGAUAGUUGGGGGCAUUAAUAUUUAAUUGUCAGAGGUGAAAUUCUUGGAUUUAUGAAAGAUUAAUUUCUGCGAAAGCAUCUGCCAAGGAUGUUUUCAUUAAUCAAGAACGAAAGUUAGGGGAUCGAAGACGAUCAGAUACCGUCGUAGUCUUAACCAUAAACGAUGCCGACCAGCGAUUAGGAGACGUUGAAUACAAAACACCACCAUCGGUGCGGUCAUCCUUGGCGGUUGGUCUUCAAAAGCCAGCGGCGGGGGUGGCUUAGCCCGGUGGCACCGGUGAAUGACUCCCUAGC
rnacentral:rRNA from 1 species